rnacentral:lncRNA from 13 species
AGGCUGGAGCUGCUGCAGCCACUCCUGAAGCAAGAGCUCUGCGUGGAUUUCACCUCCAUCUUUGUGAGGAAGCCCUCCCUGAUUCACCUCUGAGUCUGCAUCCCCGCCUUCAGCUCUCUCCAGUGCUCACAAGCCCUAUGGCUGGACCUCUAGUUCUGCCUCCACCACUAACCCCAAAGACCUGGAUGGCUCCAGAUGAAGAAAUGAAGGCUCAGAGAGGCUGAGGAACUUGUUCAGACACCCAGCUAAGCAGAGGAUAAAAGAGACUCCAUUGUCAGGCUCCUAAGCAAGCUACCAAGGGACCAAGACACU